UGAAUAUCUGUACCUGCAGGGGACAAGGCAGGCAGCUGUCUACCAGCAUCUCAAACAGCUUCAGAUUUAGCUAAUCAUUGUUUUUUUGCUUGUUUGUUUGUUUGUUUUUAGGACUCUUCAAUAUGGUGUUAUGCCUGCACAAUUGGUAAUUCUAGUCUAGAAUCUUUGUUUUCAUUUUUUAUUGGGUCUUCAGCAAUGAAAUUUUGCUAUUCUUCCAUACAGAAAGUGGAAUCUCUUUGUCUUCCACACCAAAUCUGGCUUGCCUUGGGAUAUGUCAUAACCAACAAAAAGAGAGAUGAAGAUUUCAGGUUCUCCAAAGUUCAAGCCACCAAGGUCCACAUGCCAUCACAGAGUGAAAGCACAGAAAUCUACAUUUCUUCAGCAUGAAAAACAUUGCUUCCAAGCUCCCACCCACAGACUGUACAUCACAUCAGUUGUUGCAGGAGAUCUCUGGAAUUUACCAUCACA